rnacentral:rRNA from 1 species
GACGAACGCUGGCGGCGUGCUUAACACAUGCAAGUCGAACGAAGUGGCGAACGGGUGAGUAACGCGUAAUCAAGCUGCCCUUCAGGGGGGAACAACAGUUGGAAACGACUGCUAAUACCGCAUACUGAAGGGGGGGAUGGCGUCUGAUUAGCUAGUUGGAGGGGUAACGGCCUACCAAGGCGAGGAUCAGGAUCCGGUCUGAGAGGAUGAACGGGCACAUUGGGACUGGGACACGGCCCAGACUCCUACCGGAGGCAGCCGUGGGGAAUCUUCCGCAAUGGACGAAAGUCUGACGGCGCAACGCCGCGUGAGUGAUGACGGCCUUCGGGUUGUAAAGCUCUGUUAAUCGGGACGCGGUACCGGAAUAGAAAGCCACGGCUAACUACGUGCCAGCAGCCGCGGUAAUAC